rnacentral:rRNA from 1 species
UAAAGGUCGAACGGGGAGAUUCAGUAUCUGUUCGUGCCGCCGCGGCCACUGCGCAGGUGAAAGGGCCGUCCCCCCUCGGGGGGACGGUCGCCGGCCGGAGGUUAUAGCGCGCGGACGACGGAGCGCACUUCUCCCCUAGUAGGACGCCGCGACCCGCUGGAGUGACGAGCGGGCCUAAGGCCCGGUGGCGAGUCCGUGGCGCGCUUCGGCGCGCCGCGGAGCCCCGGUGUUCCCGGUCCGCUUCCGGCGGUCGUAACUGACGGAGCCCUCCCGCGCACUUUGUGUGCGCCCGUGCCCCGCGCGAGCGUAGGCCCGCUAGUCGCGCGCGGACUUCGGUCCGCCGCGGUCGGGUUUUCCUGCGUUGCCGGCGUGUGGGGAUUCUCGGGCAGGGAGUUCUGUUUUCCGGUCUGCGGCGCUCAAAACUGGGCGGCCCACCCGACCCGUCUUGAAACACGGACCAAGGAGUCUAACAUGUACGCGAGUCAUUGGGCACCACGAAACCCAAAGGCGCAUUGAACGAAAAGGCGGGCUUAAUUGACCGCCGAGGGGAGAUGGGGCGGCGCUCGCGUCGCCCCCGCAUCCCCGGGGCGUCUCACGCUACCCGGGCUCGUCUCGGGAAGUAGAGGCGCACCAAGAGCGUACACGUUGGGACCCGAAAGAUGGUGAACUAUGCCUGGCCAGGACGAAGUCAGGGGAAACCCUGAUGGAGGUCCGUAGCGAUUCUGACGUGCAAAU